UUUGCCAGGGGGUGGAGUUUGGAGGGGGAGGGCGAGUGACGUCUUGACAGCUGAUUAGAGGAAAUUGGCGCACGCGCACAAAACGGAGAGUACAAGUGUCGGGUUUGGAAAAGAACGCGGAAGUCACGUUGAAGGGAGGCGCUGUUCAGCGCCAUGUUAGGUCGGCGCCAUGUUGGGCCGGCGCCAUGCGGAAGCUAGCCUCACUUUACACAGGCAAAACAUGUCAGGGAUGGAUAAACAAGGCCGGCCGGCCAAGGCUGGCCGCCCUCCGCAGACCUUCCAGGAUGGACGGACUUGUGGGUGGGCAGCCUGCUGUUCUGUUCCAGUGGCGCUGCCCCGCUCGGGCUCCUGGCCGAAGCGACCCUCUGUGUGUCUCGGGUCCCGGCGAGGCCGUGCAGAACCCCAGGGUCAGCGGCUGGCCCGCCGUGUUGCGGCAACGCACCCCAGCUGGGCUGUGGAUACUCGGCUGGCGAGUCUGAUUCCUCCCAGGAAGAAGCCACUGGGAGGCCGGGCCGUAGGUCCCGAUCGCCUCCGGGGCCCGUGCUGUUUGAAGUGUGGUUUGCUUGAUUGAGUGAUUGAGUCAACCAUCACCUGUCCAAGAACAGAUAAAGGUCCAAUGGACCCUCCACACCUUGAGCUAGUAUAUAAGUCACGGGAAACAGGAUACAUCUUCUCCAUAGAAAAAUGGAAUCCGCCAUUCUGGUCUACCUCUAUGCUCAUGACCACAUCAGUAAGUAUCACUUUGAAUGCUUGAAUAAUUCUCCAUACGUCCACUGUAUCUAUCCUGUAUGUUGGUAGACCCAUCAGAGCGACUGCUUCCAUCAUAAGUCUGUGGGGUUCUCCUGUGGAGCACCCGUAACUCUCGUUCACAACUCUGUAAGUGCCUCCACGUGGAUGUUCAGAGUAAUCUCUACCUCAUCCGCCACCGUAGCCACCAUGAUCACUAUAGGCCUUAGAAGAAUGUUCAUCUGGAGAAAAAUAACAGCCACAGUUGUGGUGUUCGUAGUCUCUAGGUGGUGAAGCACGAUCUUUGGUGUAUCAGGAACUUGCAUAGACUCCGCUUGAAGAUCUGUCUUCAGCAGAGUAAUUUUCAUCUCUUGGCGAUAGCAUAAUCGUUGCUCUGAGAAGAAACGGGCUUUUUGUGUUUCUCUCUACCACGCAAUUCUGGAGCUCAUCUUCCCAACCCGAUGAGUGCAUCUUGAAGGAGCAAAAAGAGUAGCUCUUUCAGAAGAAGACCCUCCACUUCGUGAAGAAGGACACCUUUUAACUGGGAAGAGUUCCCCAGAAGAACUCGUGCUGAGACUGUGAUUACAUCCUCCGUCAUCCGAGCAUCCUCCACAUGAAGGAGGCUGUUUCGCUCCAUCAUUUUCUCCUCCUCCAUGUCUCACUCUUCUCAUAUGGCCUCUGUCCCUUGAGAGAGGUCGUCCUCGAUUACUGCCACUUUCGGGAGCAUUUGUUUGCCUUCUACUUGGAUUGAUUUUCCAUUCAAAGACUUUCCAUUCAUCUCUUUGGCAGCAACCUUAGCAUCUACAGCUCUUUCAAAGGUAAUAAAAGCAAAGCAUUUGGACUUGUUGGUUUCCCAAUCCUUUAUCUAAAGAGCUUCUGCUGUGGAUCCAAAUGAUCGAAAUAGCGCUUCAAGAGUCUUUUCAUUGGUCUCUGUGUGGAGGCCUCCUCUGAAGAGUUUCCCACGCCAGUCAGCUCCCCUCAUUUUGCUCCUUUUACGGUUCCCAGAGACCUUUCCUUACUCCUUUCGAGAGAGAAAAUAGCUGUCCCAAGUGGUGCCGCAAGCAAGUCUUCCCAUCCAUUUGUACGUCUUUUGACGUACUGAGUCUUUUGUAAGCAGCAUAUGGGACUGUGUAAAGAUCCUGUCUGGCAGAUUCUGUUGCUCAAUUAGAGCCUUGAGAGCGAAUCUGUGAUUUUCCUAACUGCUUUCGCAUUUCCGUCCUGGCCGCAUGCUGCUCUUCUCCCUGCCUGCCUGCUCCGGGGCUCAGUGUUCACAGCUGUGUUUUCCUGCCGGCGGCUCGCUAGCUGUGUGUAAGUUGGGCUGUGCAUUGUGCUGGCCGUGGUGACUGCAGUGCAGGGCCUUUGGGCUGGUCUGACUGCAUCUCCCGCGGUCAGUAAGAGCCUCUGCACCCCACUGAUAUCUCACUGUCUGUGGGGCAUUGUUUUUGUUCAGUUCUUGGUCUGUAUUUCACCCGAAGGCUUUGUUAUGUUUUUUCUUCUUCAUUAUUUUUUUUUUUUGAUAAGGAAUUUAAAGCUUUAUUCUUUAAACAGAUUUUGAAACUAUUUUUGUACAUUGAAAUUUUUGUUGGUUUGUUUGUUUUUUGGUACUGGGGAUCGAACUCACAACCUUGCACUUGCCAGGCAGGCACUUGUGCCACUGAGCUGUAUCCCCAACCCUGAAGUACAAUUAAAAAAAUAUAUUAUUAGAAUAAACUAUCUCCAGUAAUGUUUUAUUCAGAAGUUAUAUUAACAUAUGUGAUGAACUGAUAACAAAACCCAAAUCUUACAUUAUAAAAUUAUGCUACCCCUGGUAAGAC